rnacentral:rRNA from 1 species
CUGGCGGCGUGCCUAAUACAUGCAAGUCGAGCGAACUGCAUUAGAAGCUUGCUUCUAUGACGUUAGCGGCGGACGGGUGAGUAACACGUGGGCAACCUGCCUGUAAGACUGGGAUAACUUCGGGAAACCGAAGCUAAUACCGGAUAGGAUCUUCUCCUUCAUGGGUGAUGAUUGAAAGAUGGUUUCGGCUAUCACUUACAGAUGGGCCCGCGGUGCAUUAGCUAGUUGGUGAGGUAACGGCUCACCAAGGCAACGAUGCAUAGCCGACCUGAGAGGGUGAUCGGCCACACUGGGACUGAGACACGGCCCAGACUCCUACGGGAGGCAGCAGUAGGGAAUCUUCCGCAAUGGACGAAAGUCUGACGGAGCAACGCCGCGUGAGUGAUGAAGGCUUUCGGGUCGUAAAACUCUGUUGUUAGGGAAGAACAAGUACGAGAGUAACUGCUCGUACCUUGACGGUACCUAACCAGAAAGCCACGGCUAACUACGUGCCA